AUGUCUGGACGCGGAAAGCAGGGUGGCAAGGCGCGCGCCAAGGCCAAGACACGCUCGUCGCGGGCCGGGCUGCAGUUCCCCGUGGGCCGCGUGCACCGCCUGCUCCGCAAGGGCAACUACGCCGAGCGGGUCGGGGCCGGCGCGCCCGUCUACCUGGCGGCCGUGCUGGAGUACCUGACGGCCGAGAUCCUGGAGCUGGCGGGCAACGCGGCGCGCGACAACAAGAAGACGCGCAUCAUCCCGCGCCACCUGCAGCUGGCCAUCCGCAACGAUGAGGAGCUCAACAAGCUGCUGGGCAAGGUGACCAUCGCGCAGGGUGGGGUGCUGCCCAACAUCCAGGCCGUGCUGCUGCCCAAGAAGACCGAGAGCCACCACAAGGCCAAGUAAGGAGGGACCAGGUAAAGAACUCUAGGAAACAAAGGCUCUUUUCAGAGCCAUUCACGCUGUCAUAGAGAACUGGUGCACACAACUUGCCGUAUUCUUUUACCAGUCAUUUCCACUUUACUUAGGGCUUAAUUCCAAGGAGCACUAGAUUUUGUUUUAUUGUUUUAACAUCAUAAGUUGCACACUCAUGUUGGUAAAUUCGGGAUCCUAUUCCUUUGGAAAACGUGUAUUUCCUGAGUUCACAGCAGCUGAGGUUACAACAGAGAAUGCAUGGUAGAGAACAGCCUCCAUGCCAGCCGGGGUGAAGGAGACACAUGUAAACGUGUGCUGUCAGGUGAUGGGUGUGCGGUUUAAGACAAUAACGGGGUGAGCUACAGAGCACAAUGGGGCUAUUUUGGAUUGAGAGUGAGUGGAAAUAAACUGGGAAGUGAGUAGAGAAAGGGCCGUGGCAGGUAGACCUGGUGGCACGCCGAUCCUAUGGUGGUUAGCACUGUGUUGGGGCCACGGCAACCUUGGUGGGAGUCUGAGUUAAGGCAGGAGCUUGAGGUUGUACGUGCACCUCCCCACCUUCUCAACUGCAGUGCAGACUGCAAAGCCCAUCCGAAGAUGAAUGGAUUUGUAAUCUACUCAACGAAGAGAGACAAGUGCACAUCUCAUUGGGCUGCCUCACCACCCCCUUAAGCCAAAGACAGUGCCCGUUACUUUUGUGUGUUUGUUUGUUCGUUUGUUUUUCUCUUUCUCUUCAGUGCUUCUCUUCCUAACUCUACUCAGGUCCGGUUGGUAUUGGCUAGGAGUCCUGAAGAAGAAACUGAGGAGUCACAGAGGGGCAGGUGGAGCGGGCAAGGUGGGUGUGGAGGAGAGUUGACCUGAGGAGGGGAGGUGACUGGAGACAAGGAAGUUCGCAGAGGAGCUUCCGUGGGCCCACUUGUCCGCAGCACCCCACUCAUACACACAAAUGACACAUCUCCCCUGGACUCGUGGAUUGUGGGAGCUCAAAAACUACUGUCUUCUAUCUCCUUUCUCAUGUUGUGAGCAGCUUAUUAAAAGUUCCAGCACAAUGACAUCUUCUUUGAUUUCUCAAAGCCUUCCCUUAUGGCUAAAUUAGCCUCAUCCUUUCCCAUCUGUCUACCUGAGGCAAAUUCUAAAACUCACUCAGAGGAGACUUAAGAGGUUUUGUAACUGAGCUGAAAUGUAUCUUUGGAGGUCAUCCCCCCAGCUGCCCAGUUUUAAGGCUGCUUCCUAGUCUUCUUCACUGUAUCACAUCUGCCUCGACUUCCCCUGUACUGAAUGCUAUUUCUACUCCAUUUUGCAUGUGUGAGGAUGGGUACCUGUCCGUCUGGACCCAGAGGAACCAGUUCCUGACACUGCCGCUCUGGGUGAGCAUCAGUAGCAUGUCCGCUGUAAACUGAGCGGGAGUGGUUAUGAAAUUAAAUUGGACCUUUGCCAUGAGUCCAUGAAUAUCGAUUGGUCUGGGAGCUUCCUACACAACUGGCCCUCUUAGUCUUGAAGUGUGAGGCCCAGGAACAGAAAUGCCUAUCUGUGAUCAGGCCUGGAGAAGCACGGUCCCCUGAGAGGAACAAGCACAGGCGACCUUGAUGAGAGCAGAGAGAAAUGCUGACUUGUGGAUUCUUCCUGAGUUUGUUGUGUAUAGAAGUGAGGUUGGGGAGGACACACGGUGUAAAGGUUUUCAUAGGUUUCUCUUGCUUUUACUAAGGAACUGCAACCAUCAAGGGCAACAAAUACCACCACACACUCGAGGCCAGAGGCCUGUUCCCUGAUUUUAGGAGAAUAACCCUGGAGUCUUCUUCCUGAUAGAUGGGGGCUGGAGUUGGACUUUGUAGGAGGCCACGCUGGUCUGCAGCCCCUGAUCGGUCCCACCCACACAUUUCUCCACUGAGGGUCCUCUCUUCACCCAGUUCCUGGAUUUUAGGAAUUCCUGUGGACUUGGCACUUUUGAAGAGAGAGGAUGGGCCUCUCAGAGGUGUCUCCAGCUCAGGCUUACCUAAAACUUAUUCCUCUAACUCUCACGGAGUCUGGAGAAGCAGAAAUACCAGUAUUCUUGGUGAGAAGCUGAUGUUCUAUUGCCAGCCAGUGUGGGUACAGGCGGGGGCAGAAAAUCCACCUAUUGUUGGUUCUACUGGGGAUCAAACCCAGGACCUUCUGUGUGCAAAGCGGAUGUGCUAACUGCUGCACUAUAGAACCAUCUCCCAAGGAGGUCCACGUUUCUAAGUAAGUGCGUAGAAAAAUGUUUACGUUUGAUUCAAAGAUAAUUUUGGAAUGUGCGGUUUUUGUUUUUGGUGUUAAAUUACAUUUCCCGUGCAUCUUCCUAGCAAGUAGAGUCAUUGUAAACACAGGGGGAAAGAUUAUCUAAAACCUCAUUCUUCAUCCUUGAAACACUUCCACGUCCCUCCAUUCAUUCCCAGAUUAUUUAUUGUGAGCGUCCACCACACCACGUGCCCAGUAUAUGUCGAGGGGCUGCAGACAGAGCGGAACACAAUUAGAACCCUGGUAGGCAAGCACCUUACACUGUGGGGUCUACACCAUCUGUCAGUCAACAGGUGCUGGAUAAACGGAUCUUUAUAAACGGAAGAGCACUGUUCCCAUGACCUCCCUUUACUUACAACUGGGGCAGAACCAGCCGCUGGGGACUGCUCACUGAGUUAUGCUUAGGGUGUUUGUGUUCGAAAUGGGAGGCAAAUGUUUUGCAUUGGAGGAGGUCAGAGGAUGCUACCCUCAAAUACAUAUGCCUCUGACAUAUUAAUUACUUUGAAUUAAUAGAUGCAAUUACUUUGAAUAAACAGAUGGAAAAACAAGGGAGUGCAUUACGGCCCUUAUUUUCCUUUCUAAAAGCAGGAGAUAAAAUUCCCACGUGAAAAGUAUGUUUCUACACCAGGAGGAAGAAACAUUUUUAUCACCAGAGACAGGAAGUUGAGACUCAGAGAAAUCUGGAUGCCCACCACUUAUUAACCACUUAUUAAACGAACCUCAUCUUCCUAGUCACUUUUCUUCUAACUGCCCUGGCCCCUUGGUCUCGUCAAGUGUUCGUGUGUGUCCAGCCUGGUGUGUAAUUGUUGCUUCCCAGAGACUUUUUUUUUGUGCAGGCUCUCAUGUGCAUGUAAAAAUUAUUUAAUAAUAAAAUGUGUAUGUUCUUUUCCUAUUAAUCUAUGUCAUAUCUUUUUAAUUCUUAGACCCAGAGAAAGACCCUAAGAGAGUGGAGGAAGAGUUUUCCCUCCCUUACACAGUCUCUCUCCCACUCUCCAUUCUGUGACACAGCAUUCAUCUGACAAGUCUCAGACUCUCGGCUCUGCCCUCCAGAGCCGUUGCGAGUGUUGGGACCCUUUCCAUAGCCAAGUUGCUGGUGAGGCCACCAGGCUAAGGAGGUUGUCUGUGGGCCACUGAUCCUAGCAGCUCCUCUGUGUUGUCCAAGGCCUUCUCGAUUUCAUUCCUUAAAAUCAAAUUACAGUAGACUUAGACACUGAUAGACUGAGGGUGAUUAUACCAAAUCGAUGGUGAGCUUCGAUUGUG